rnacentral:lncRNA from 1 species
GGAAACAGGAAGUAUCUCUCUUCCCCUCCGCUCCUGCUCCAGCGGCACAAUGUGAUCCACUGGCAAGGAGGGACGCCAAUAAGACAUCUGAUAGAUAAGUCUUAUAAAAUAUAUAGAUUUAUGAUAAUUAAGAUUGAGCUAGCAGAUGAGAAUCCUAGUCAUUGGCCAAGCAGCAUUGUACCUAAUACAAGUUUCUGUGUAUUAAUUUGGGCCUAACUCGGGCAGGUGGCUGGGUAAAGCUCACACAUGGCGGUGGGCCUCAGGCGGCUUUUGGCGGAAAGACUUAAUGUAACAUAAUUCUUUUAGUUUUAUUUAAAACAAAUACAUAGUUUAUAAAAUUUUUAUUGAAAUGCUGAGGAUAAUACCUAAGUCUUCAUGCAUGUUUUGACUAUUUAAUAAUACAGCAGUUAAUAUGACUUAGCAAAUACGAUUUAUGUUCUCCCCAAAAUUUGAACAUUCUGUAAUUUUUCCCCAAAUAUGUUUCAGAGAAAAAUUUGCAUAGAUAUAUUUGCUGGUUGGUAUGCAAAUUUUUAUUUCCACUUUGAAUUGGUCUAUGAUCUUUUCACUUUUGUCUACCAUUAGUAUUUUCCAUCUAUAUUCAAAGCCAUUGGAAUAUAACUAGAACACACCAUAAAGUCAAGAUCUGUUGCAAAUUAAAUUUCACUUAAUAUUGGUAAUAUCAGCAUAAAAAUAGGGGUGACUCAGGAAUUGGAGUUACUCCUUAACUCUUAGUGAAUAUGCUGUAUCUAUCUUUCUGGUUUAGUUUUCAAUUUUCUGAUCUACUAAUUUUAAUAAGUUUAUUCAUUUACAAGAGCUGCUGUAAGAAAUUACCAGAGCAUCGUGGAUUAAAACCAUUCCUGAGUCUGAAAGCCAGAAUCAGGAGUUGGCAGGAUUUGUUGCUUCUUGAUUUUCUGUCAGACAACCUAUUAUCUAACUUCUGGCAGCUGCAGGCCAUCUAGGGAAGCCUCCACCUCCAUCUUCAUCUGAUUUGCUCCACAUUUCUUGCUAAAAGCCACAAGAUCAUGCAACAAUAUACAGCUAUCAUAUUGUUAUGCCCAGUUUGUGGGACACCAAAAAGUCCACCACCAAAGAGACAAUUCAUCAAAUGGAAAAACAAAAGUUUCAUUUAUUGGCAAGCUACAGCCUGGAUUCUGCUGGCUCAGGAGCAAAUGGAAUACAGCUUACAGGUUCACUUAGAAAGAUCAGCAACAGGCAAAUUACAGCAGAGUGGUUAAAUAUGUACAGAAGCAGCUGGAUCAGAAACUCAGAAGGGACAGACUUCAAACCCUAACUAUGUCAAAUGGGAUAAAUUGUGACCUCAAAUUACAAAACAGCCAUUUAAAUUUCUAUGUGAACCAAUAAACUAUUUUAACUAAGACAGCAUAAUGCAU